rnacentral:lncRNA from 1 species
CACAUCCACAUCUCACCCGUACUCAAUAAGGCCCCUGGAUCCAACCUUAAUAAUACCCAAGACUACCUUCAGCCUAGCCACAGUCGCCCCUUGUUCCAAUUGCAUCGCAUGGGCCGACCCAAUUCCCUCCACAGCCUUUUAUUCCACCUCCUUCCCCUUCUUCUGGAUAAUCAACUGCAUAGUCUCCCCUUUUAGGUCCCCAGU